UUCCGCCCACUUUCGUUCCCAGCCCACUCCCCGUCCCCGCCGCUGCACCUCCCCGUCAUUGCUUGCUGCCCCCGGUUGCUCCGCGCCGUUCGUAAGCACCGUCGCCCCGCGCCGCAUCCAUUCCACCUAGUUUGAGGGCGGCGGGUGCCCAUUUGGCUCCGCGGGGUCGCGGCCACCGCCGACGCCAUGGAUCCGCCCCGGAGCUUGGCGUGCGACCUAGUAGGUGGCUGAUCCAGUUUGUUUCAGAGUUGAUGAGACUCACCCACGCGCGUCGGAGGAAGGAAUUUCGGCCGGUGGGGGAGAAGAAAGGGGCGGUGCAGCUUUGCUUCGGCCGGCUCCGGAUGAGAUGCAUUUUGUAGAUGGACUGGAGUUCGUCCUCGUCGUCUUCGCCGGAUGAUUCGGACAUAGGAGAGAUGAUCCUCGACAACGAUGUCGACAACCUAGUGUUGCUGCAUCUCAUGGAGGAAUUUGAAGCGGACCCGGAGAAAAAAACGGCGCGUAUCCACGGUCAGCCGACUAUGCAUUCCCCGCAACCGAGCUCUCGGCGACAAGAUGCUCAUGAAGGACUACUUUAUCGAGGUACUGAAUAUCCGGCUCACCUCUUUUGUAGGCGAUAUCGAAUGCGUAGGUCCCUAUUCGUGCGUAUCGUUGAAGCUUGUGAGCAAUUUCACUUGGCGCGAGAAUGUCGCCGGUUUGAUUGGCUUUAGUGCAUAUAAAGAUAUCAUCGUCGAUGAGAGUGAUUGCAUAUGGUGUUCCCGCCGACUACGCGGAUGAAUUUGUUCGCAUUGGAGAAGAUACCGCCAUCAAAUGUGUUUGUGUCUUUAUGAAGACAAUGAUCUGGGUUUUUGGCAAGAGUACCUUCGAGCUCCGAACAAAGAAGACAAAAGAAGCUCAUGGCAAUGAACGAAGCAAGGGGAUGGCUAGGCAUGCUAGGUAGUAUUGAUUGCAAGCAUUGAAGGUGGAAGAACUGCCCGGUGGCUUGGGCAGGGAAAUACACCGGCCAUAAACAUAAACCCACCAUCAUGCUUGAAGUCGUGGCUUCACAUGAUCUAUGGAUUUGGCAUUGCUUCUUUGGUUUGUCGGGUUCUCUGGACGAUGUAAAUGUGUUGCGACAAUCUCGUCUAUUUGCUUAGCUAGCUAGUGACAAAGCUUCGGCUUGCAACUAUACUGUCAAUAGCCAUGAGUAUAUCAUGGGGUACUAUCUUACCGACGCUAUUUAUCCUUCAUGGUCAACAUUUGUAAAGACCAUUAGUGACCCCAAAAUCAAGAAGCACAUUUUUUUACUGAAGCACAAGAAGCUUGCUGAAAGGACAAGGAGAGGGCAUUUGGUGUGUUGCAUGCUUGGUUUGCCAUUUUUCGAGAUCUUGCUCGCUUUUGGGAUAAAAAAUGCCUCAGAGACAUCAUGACUACUUGUGUAAUUCUACACAACAUGAUCGUCGAUGAUGAGAGGGAUUUGGACUUAGAGAUUAAUUAUGACAAUAUUGGUAGUCGUGUGAAGCAUGCGAGGGACGCAAAUGAGAUCACUGCAUUUUUUGAAACCUACCGGAAGAUCGAGAAUUGUGAUUCACACAACCAACUCCAACAUGAUCUUAUUGAGCAUCGUUGGCAACUCUAUGGGGGAUAGAUUCCCAUUCAUAUGUAUUUGUGUGUGAUUUGAACAAUUUGGUCUUGUAAUAAUUAUUUGAAUUUGAACAUUUGUUGUAAUGAAAACUAUUGUUGUAUUGUGAAUUGCUUUCCAGAACAUUUA